rnacentral:rRNA from 1 species
UACAGAGGGGGCAAGCGUUGUUCGGAAUUACUGGGCGUAAAGGGCGCGUAGGCGGCCUGUUAAGUCGAACGUGAAAUCCCCGGGCUCAACCCGGGAACUGCGUCCGAUACUGGCUGGCUUGAAUCCGGGAGAGGGAUGCGGAAUUCCAGGUGUAGCGGUGAAAUGCGUAGAUAUCUGGAGGAACACCGGUGGCGAAGGCGGCAUCCUGGACCGGUAUUGACGCUGAGGCGCGAAAGCGUGGGGAGCAAACAGG